rnacentral:ncRNA from 2 species
GCUAAGCUUUAGGGGUAUUUCUAUACGAAAUUGAGAGAGUCUCUUUGAACCUGAUACGGUUAAUACCGUCGUAGGGAAAAGCAGCCGGCACCAU